rnacentral:rRNA from 1 species
GAUGAACGCUGGCGGCGUGCCUAAUACAUGCGAGUCGAGCGAACGGACGAGAAGCUUGCUUCUCUGAUGUUAUCGGCGGACGGGUGAGUAACACGUGGAUAACCUACCUAUAAGACUGGGAUAACUUCGGGAAACCGGAGCUAAUACCGGAUGAUAUUUUGAACCGCAUGGUUCAAAAGUGAAAGACGGUCUUGCUGUCACUUAUAGAUGGAUCCGCGCUGCAUUAGCUAGUUGGUAAGGUAACGGCUUACCAAGGCAACGAUGCAUAGCCGACCUGGGAGGGUGAUCGGCCACACUGGAACUGAGACACGGUCCAGACUCCUACGGGAGGCAGCAGUAGGGAAUCUUCCGCAAUGGGCGAAAGCCUGACGGAGCAACGCCGCGUGAGUGAUGAAGGUCUUCGGAUCGUAAAACUCUGUUAUUAGGGAAGAACAUAUGUGUAAGUAACUGUGCACAUCUUGACGGUACCUAAUCAGAAAGCCACGGCUAACUACGUG